AUGGGGGUCACGGAUCCUUUCAUUGCCGAAGUGCUCUCUCUUCGGGAGGGCACCAUCUUUGCAAAGCUUCGAGGAUUCACGCACGUGCAACUGGAAACCGACUGUCUAGAGGCAGUAAACCUCUGGAACUCUAGCUACACUGAGUUUUCGGUAGUAGCACCGAUCCUGUCUGAAAUUAGAGAGCUCUCUGCUAGCUUUUUGUCUUUCGAUAUUUCUCAUGUAAGUAGAGCUGCUAACGGUCCUGCACACUUGUGUGCUAAGCGUGCAUGUACGCUUAACGUGACCGAGAGCUUCCUGACCAGCAGCCUCUUGGCACUAGUAGAAAAAGGGUCAAACGUGAAGCACAUUAGUGCCGGUUUGAUUUUGGCCCGAUACUAA
rnacentral:rRNA from 1 species